rnacentral:sRNA from 1 species
GCCAUGUUGAUUUCUGAUCCUUGAGCUUUUCUGUGUUUCUCUGUUCAUUUUUCAUGGCAUCCUUGGAAGGAUGCCAAGCUAAGGAGGCCAGGGGGGAAUAAAAGGAGUCCAGGCUCCCAACUGUGCCCUUCCCCUCUCCCCUGGGAGCCACCACUGAGGGUCCUUAUGGUUCCUCCAGUCUGGACUCUGCUGCUGCUGGUGGGGGCUGCCCCUUUCAGGAAAGAGAAGCCUCCGGACCAGAAGCUGGUCGUUCGCAGCUCUAGGGACAACUAUGUCCUCACCCAGUGUGAUUUUGAGGAUGACGCCAAACCCCUCUGUGACUGGUCCCAAGUGUCCGCAGAUGAUGGAGACUGGGUUCGAGCCAGUGGGCCCUCUCCCACUGGCUCCACUGGGGCCCCCGGGGGGUACCCCAACGGAGAGGGCAGCUAUCUGCAUAUGGAAUCGAACAGCUUCCACCAUGGGGGAGUGGCCCGCCUGCGCAGCCCUGACCUAUGGGAGCAAGGCCCCCUCUGUGUGCACUUCGCCUACCGCAUGUUCGGGCUGUCUUGGGGCACCCAGCUCAGGCUGCUGCUGCUCUCGGGUGAAGAGGGCCGCCACCCCAAUGUGCUCUGGAAACACUGGAACACCCAGAGACCCUCCUGGAUGCCCACCACCAUCACUGUGCCCGCAGGGUUCACCCUGCCCACCCGGCUGAUGUUUGAGGGAACACGGGGUAGCACUGCCUACCUGGACAUCGCCCUGGACGCCCUCUCUAUCCGUCGGGGCUCCUGCAAUCGCGUCUGUAUGAUGCAAACAUGCAGCUUUGACAUUCCAAAUGACCUCUGUGACUGGACCUGGAUCCCAACUGCCUCCGGGGCCAAGUGGACUCAGAAGAAAGGGUCGUCAGGAAAGCCAGGCGUGGGGCCUGAUGGCGACUUCUCUAGCCCUGGUAGUGGCCGCUACAUGCUCCUGGACCCCAAGAAUGCAAGACCUGGGCAGAAAGCCGUCCUCCUGAGCCCCGUGAGCCCGUCCUCCGGCUGUCUGAGCUUUUCCUUCCACUACAUCCUCCGGGGCCAGUCUCCUGGUGCAGCCCUCCACAUUUACGCUUCAGUCUUGGGGAGUAUCCGGAAACACACUCUCUUCUCAGGACAACCUGGGCCCAACUGGCAGGCUGUUUCUGUCAAUUACACAGCCAUGGGACGGAUACAGUUCGCCGUGGUAGGCGUUUUUGGAAAGACCCCAGAGCCAGCUGUGGCAGUUGAUGCAACCAGCAUUGCUCCUUGUGGGGAGGGUUUUCCUCAGUGUGACUUUGAAGACAACGCCCAUCCCUUCUGUGACUGGGUCCAGACUUCCGGGGAUGGUGGACACUGGGCCCUCGGACAUAAAAAUGGACCCGUCCAUGGCAUGGGCCCUGUGGGAGGUUUCCCUAAUGCAGGGAGUCACUAUAUCUACCUUGAGGCUGACAAGUUCUCCCAGGCAGGGCAGUCAGUCAGACUGGUGAGCCGGCCCUUCUGCGCCCCGGGUGACAUCUGCGUGGAGUUCGCAUACCACAUGUAUGGCCUUGGGGAGGGUACUAUGCUCGAACUCCUCCUGGGAAGUCCCGCGGGGAGCCCCCCGAUUCCUCUCUGGAAACGCGUGGGGUCUCAGCGCCCUUACUGGCAGAACACCUCCAUCACCAUCCCCUCAGGACACCAACAGCCCAUGCAGCUGAUUUUCAAGGCCAUCCAGGGCAGAAACACAGCCUUUGUGGUUGCUAUGGGUUUCAUCUUGAUCAAUCCUGGGACUUGUCCAGUAAAAGUGCUACCAGAGCUUCCUCCCGUAUCUCCAGUUUUUUCCACUGGCCCUUCUGAAACCACUGGCCUCACAGAAAACCCUACAAUCUCCACAAAGAGACUUACGGUUUCCAUAGAAAAACCCAGUGUCGCCACAGAAAAGCCCACAGUCCCCAAAGAAAAGCCCACCAUUCCCACAGAAAAACCCACCAUCCCCACAGAAAAACCCGUCAUUCCUUCAGAAAAACCCAACAUUCCCUCAGAAAAACCCACCAUUCCCUCAGAAAAACCCACCAUCCUCACAGAAAAACCCACCAUUCCCUCAGAAAAACCCACCAUUCCCUCAGAAAAACCCACCAUUUCCACAGAAAAACCCACCGUCCCCAGAGAAGAGCCCACCACCCCCACUGAGGAGACCACCAUCUACAUGGAAGAGCCUGCCAUCCCCACAGAAAAACCCAGCCUCCCCACGGAAAAACCCACCAUACCCAUGGAAAAACCCACCAUCUCCAUGGAAGAGACUAUCAUCCCCACAGAAAAACCCACCAUCUCCCCAGAAAAACCCACCAUCCCCACAGAAAAACCCACCAUCCCCACAGAAAAACCCACCGUCUCCCCAGAAAAACCCACCACCCCCACAGAAAAACCCACCAUCCCCACAGAAAAACCCACCAUCUCCCCAGAAAACCCACCACCCCCACAGAAAAACCCACCAUCUCCCCAGAAAAACCCACCACCCCCACAGAAAAACCCACCAUCUCCCCAGAAAAACCCACCAUCCCCACAGAAAAACCCACCAUCCCCACAGAAAAACCCACCAUCUCCCCAGAAAAACCCAUCACCCCCACAGAAAAACCCACCAUCUCCACAGAAGAGCCCACCACCCCCACUGAGGAGACCACCAUCUCCACAGAAGAGCCUGCCAUCCCCACAGAAAAACCCGGCGUCCCCAUGGAAAAACCCACUCUCUCCACUGAAGAAACCACCACCUCUGUUGAAGAGACUACCAUCUCCACAGAAAAACUCACCAUCCCCAAAGAAAAACCCACCAUCUCCACAGAAAAACUCACCAUCCCCACAGAAAAACCCACCAUCCCCAUGGAAAAACCCACCAUCUCCACAGAAAAACCCACCAUCUCCCCAGAAAAACUCACCAUCCCCACAGAAAAACCCACCAUCUCCCCAGAAAAACCCAGCAUCUCCACGGAAAAACCCACCAUCCCCACGGAAAAACCCACCAUCCCCAUUGAAGAGACUACCAUCUCCACAGAAAAACUCACCAUCCCCACAGAAAAACCCACCAUCUUCACGGAAAAACCCACCAUCCCCCCAUGGAAAAACCCACCACCCCACCAUCCCCACGGAAAAACCCACCAUCCCCUCAGAAAAACCCACCAUCCCCACAGAAAAACUCACCAUCCCCACAGAAAAGCCCGCUAUCCCCACAGAAAAACCCACCAUUCCCACAGAGAAGCUCACAGCCCUGAGGCCACCCCAUCCCAGCCCCACAGCCACUGGGCUGGCAGCCUUGGUGAUGUCUCCACAUGCUCCAAGUGCCCCUAUGACCAGUGUGAUCCUGGGCACUACCACAACCUCCAGAUCCAGUACAGAGCGCUGCCCCCCAAAUGCCCGCUACGAAUCCUGUGCUUGUCCUGCUUCGUGCAAGAGCCCCAGGCCUAGCUGUGGGCCCCUCUGUCGGGGGGGCUGUGUCUGCAACCCUGGCUUUUUGUUUAGUGACAACCACUGCAUCCAGGCCUCUUCCUGCAAUUGCUUCUACAACAAUAACUACUAUGAGCCUGGGGCAGAGUGGUUCAGCCCCAACUGCACAGAACACUGCCGCUGCUGGCCGGGCAGUCGGGUCCAGUGCCAGAUCUCUCAGUGCGGGACACACACUGUGUGCCAGCUUAAGAAUGGCCAGUACGGAUGCCACCCCUACGCAGGCACUGCCACCUGCUUGGUCUACGGAGACCCUCAUUAUGUCACCUUUGAUGGGAGGCACUUUGGCUUCAUGGGCAAGUGCACUUACAUCUUGGCCCAGCCCUGUGGCAACUCAACAGACCCAUUCUUCAGGGUGACAGCCAAGAAUGAGGAGCAGGGACAGGAAGGCAUGUCCUGCCUGAGCAAAGUCUACGUGACCCUGCCCGAGACCACUGUCACCCUGCUUAAGGGCAGACGCACUCUGGUUGGGGGUCAGCGAGUUACUCUCCCAGCCAUACCCUCUAAAGGCGUCUUCCUGGGUGCAAGCGGGCGAUUUGUGGAGCUGCAGACGGAGUUCGGUUUGCGGGUGAGAUGGGAUGGUGACCAGCAGCUGUACGUUACAGUGUCCAGCACCUACUCUGGCAAACUCUGUGGUUUGUGUGGGAACUAUGAUGGCAACAGUGACAAUGACCACCUGAAGUCGGACGGCAGCCCAGCAGGAGACAAGGAGGAGCUGGGGAACAGCUGGCAGACAGACCAGGACGAGGACCAGGAGUGUCAGAAGAACCAGAUGGUGAAUCCCCCGUCUUGUGAUUCAUCUCUGCAGAGCAGCAUGUCGGGGCCAGGGUUCUGUGGACGGCUGGUUGACACUCGUGGCCCAUUUGAGACAUGCCUGCUGCAUGUGAAGGCCACUUCCUUCUUCGACAGCUGCAUGCUUGAUAUGUGCAGAUUCCAGGGGCUGCAGCACCUGCUGUGCGCACACAUGUCCACCAUGACCGCCACCUGCCAGGACGCAGGCCAUGCCGUGAAGCCCUGGAGGGAACCCCACUUCUGCCCAAUGGCCUGCCCGCCCAACAGCAAGUACUCCCUGUGUGCGAAGCCAUGCCCUGACACCUGCCAUUCAGGAUUCUCCGGCAUGUUCUGUUCAGACCGGUGCGUGGAGGCCUGUGAAUGCAAUCCGGGCUUCGUCCUCAGUGGCCUCGAGUGCGUACCUCGCUCCCAGUGUGGGUGCCUCCACCCCGCAGGCAGCUACUUCAAGGUAGGGGAGCGGUGGUACAAGCCAGGCUGCAAAGAGCUGUGUGUCUGUGAAAGCAACAACAGAAUUCGCUGCCAGCCCUGGAGGUGUAGUGCCCAGGAGUUCUGUGGCCAACAGGAUGGUAUCUAUGGCUGCCAUGCCCAAGGUGCCGCCACCUGCGCAGCCUCGGGCGACCCCCACUACCUGACCUUCGACGGGGCCUUGCACCACUUCAUGGGCACCUGCACCUAUGUCCUGACCCGGCCUUGCUGGUCCAGGUCCGAAGACAGCUAUUUUGUUGUGAGCGCCACCAACGAGAACCGCGGGGGGAACCUGGAGGUCUCCUACAUCAAAGCCGUCCACGUGACGGUCUUUGACCUCAGCAUCUCACUGCUCAGAGGCUGUAAGGUCAUGCUGAAUGGCCACCGGGUGGCCUUACCUGUGUGGCCUGCACAAGGCCGGGUGACCAUAAGGCUCAGCAGCAACUUCGUCCUCCUCUACACGAACUUUGGGCUCCAAGUUCGCUACGACGGGAGCCACUUGGUGGAAGUGACAGUCCCCUCCUCCUAUGGCGGUCAGCUCUGCGGGCUGUGCGGGAACUACAACAACAACAGCUUGGAUGACAACCUGCGCCCCGACAGAAAGCCUGCAGGCGAUUCCGUGCAGCUGGGGGCCGCCUGGAAGUUACCUGAAUCCUCUGAACCUGGCUGUUUCCUUGCGGGUGGCAAGCCCUCCCGCUGCCAGGAGAACGGCAUGGCAGACACCUGGAACAAGAACUGUGAGAUCUUAAUAAACCCUCAGGGACCCUUCUCUCAAUGUCACCAGGUGGUGCCUCCCCAGCCCAGCUUUGCCAGUUGCGUGCAUGGCCAGUGUGGGACCAAGGGCGACACCACGGCCCUGUGCCGCUCCCUGCAGACCUACGCGUCCCUGUGUGCCCAGGCUGGCCAGGCCCCUGCCUGGCGGAACAGAACCUUCUGCCCUAUGAGGUGCCCACCUGGCAGCAGCUACAGCCCCUGCGGCAGCCCCUGCCCAGCCACCUGCAGCAGCAUAAAUGACCCGAGAGACUGCCCCAAAGCACUGCCCUGUGCUGAGAGCUGCGAAUGUCAGAAAGGCCACAUCUUGAGUGGAACCUCCUGCGUGCCCCUUGGCCAGUGUGGCUGCACUGACCCAGCGGGCUCCUACCACCCGGUCGGGGAACGCUGGUACACGGAGAACACCUGUACCAGGCUCUGCACCUGCUCCGUCCACAACAACAUCACCUGCUUCCAGAGCACCUGCAAACCCAACCAGUUGUGCUGGGCCCUGGACGGGCUGCUCCGUUGUCGGGCCUCAGGUAUGGGAGUGUGUCAGCUCCCAGGGGAGUCCCACUACGUGAGCUUUGAUGGUAGUAACCAUUUCAUCCCGGACACCUGCACUCAUGUCCUGGUGAAAGUGUGCCACCCCGCCAUGGCCUUGCCCUUCUUCAAGAUCAGUGCCAAGCAUGAGAAGGAGGAAGGUGGAACUGAGGCUUUCCGCCUUCACGAGGUCUACAUUGACAUCUACGAUGCCCAGGUCACCCUGCAGAAGGGCCACUGUGUGCUGAUCAACAGCAAACAGGUCACCCUCCCCGCGAUCUCCCAGAUCCCUGGGGUCAGUGUCAAGUCCAGCAGCAUCUACACCAUUGUUAACAUCAAGAUCGGGGUGCAAGUCAAGUUUGACGGGAAUCGUCUCUUAGAGAUUGAAAUCCCCACAACCUACUAUGGAAAGGUCUGCGGUGUGUGUGGGAACUUCAAUGAUGAGGAAGAGGACGAACUAAUGAUGCCCAGUGACGAACUAGCACAUAGUGACAGUGAAUUUGUGAACAGUUGGAAAGAUAAGGACAUUGACCCAAGUUGUCAGAGUCUCCCGGUGGAUGAGCAGCAGAUUCCAGCGGAACAGCAGGAGAACCUGAGUGGAAACUGCAGGGCGGCCGACCUCCGCAGGGCGCGGGAAAAGUGCGAGGCAGCGCUCCGGGCUCCGGUGUGGGCCCAGUGCGCCUCCCGCGUAGACCUCACGCCCUUCCUGGUGGAUUGUGCAGACACCCUCUGUGAGUUCGGAGGUCUCCACCAGGCCCUCUGCCAGGCUCUGCAAGCCUUCGGGGCCACCUGCCAGAGCCAGGGGCUCAAGCCUCCACUCUGGAGAAACAGCAGCUUCUGCCCUCUGGAAUGCCCUGCCUACAGCAGCUACACCAGCUGCCUUCCCUCCUGCUCACCCUCCUGCUGGGACCUGGAUGGCCAGUGUGAGGGCGCCAAAGUCCCCUCUGCCUGCGCUGAGGGCUGCAUCUGUCAGCCCGGCUAUGUGCUGAGUGAAGACAAGUGUGUCCCCAGAAGUCAGUGCGGCUGCAAGGAUGCCCAUGGUGGUUCCAUCCCUCUGGGCAAGAGCUGGGUCUCCAGUGGUUGCACGGAGAAGUGUGUCUGCACAGGAGGAGCCAUUCAGUGCGGGGACUUCCGAUGCCCCCUUGGGUCCCACUGCCAGCUCAGUUCUGACAACAGCAACAGCAACUGUGUCUCAGACAAGUCUGAACAAUGCUCAGUCUAUGGGGACCCCCGUUACCUCACAUUUGAUGGCUUCAGCUACCGCUUCCAAGGCCGCAUGACGUAUGUUCUGAUCAAAACUGUGGACGUACUGCCUGAGGGGGUGGAGCCCCUCCUCGUGGAAGGACGCAACAAGAUGGAUCCGCCCAGGAGCUCCAUCUUCUUGCAGGAAGUGAUUACCACCGUCUAUGGCUAUAAAGUGCAGCUCCAAGCUGGUCUGGAGCUUGUGGUCAACAACCAGAAGAUGGCCGUCCCCUACAGGCCGAAUGAGCACCUGCGGGUCACCCUGCGGGGCCAACGGCUCUACCUGGUCACUGACUUUGAGCUGGUCGUCAGCUUCGGUGGAAGGAAAAAUGCAGUGAUCUCCCUACCCAGCAUGUACGAGGGGCUCGUGCGUGGCCUGUGCGGAAACUACGACGAGAACCGCAAGAAUGACAUGAUGCUGCCCAGUGGCGCCCUGACCCAGAACCUCAACACCUUUGGCAACAGCUGGGAGGUGAAGACUGAGGAUGCACUCCUCCGCUUCCCCAGGGCUAUACCAGCAGAGGAGGAGGGACAACGGGCGGAGCUGGGCCUCUGCGCGGGCCUCCACGUGUCCGAAUGUAGCCCGGAGCAGAUGGCGAGCAAUAGCACCCAGGCCUGUAGGGUGCUGGCAGACCCCCAGGGCCCCUUUGCUGCCUGUCACCAGACGGUGGCCCCAGAGCCCUUCCAGGAGCACUGCAUGAUGGAUCUGUGCUCUGCUCAGGACCCAAGAGAGCAAGAGGAGCUGCGUUGCCAGGUCCUCAGCGGGUACGCCAUCCUCUGCCAGGAGGCGGGCGCUGCCCUGGCUGGCUGGCGGGACCGCACCCUCUGCGCCAUGGAGUGUCCAGCAGGUACCAUGUAUCAGAGCUGUAUGACACCCUGCCCAGCAUCCUGUGCCAACCUGGCGGACCCUGGGGACUGCGAGGGCCCCUGCGUGGAAGGCUGCGCCAGCAUCCCAGGCUAUGCCUACAGCGGCACCCAGAGCCUCCCCCUGGCUGACUGUGGCUGCACCAGCAAUGGCAUCUACUACCAGGUCCGAGCUGGCAGCGGGAGGCCCUGGGGAGCAGAGGUGCCAAGAAGAGCUAGACCAGGGAUGGAACCGGAACGUCUCCUCCUGGCCCUUCCCCUUUCUAGCUGGGCAGCAGCUUUGUGACUGAGGACUGCUCUCAGCGGUGCACCUGCGCCAGCUCACGGAUCCUGCAGUGCGAGCCCUUCAGCUGCAGAGAGGGGGAGGUCUGCAUCCUGGGGAACCACACCCGAGGCUGCUUUCCAGAAAGCCCGUGUCUGCGGAAUCCCUGUCAGAAUGACGGGUGGUGUCGGGAGCAGGGAGCGACCUUCACCUGCGAGUGUGAACUUGGUUAUGGGGGAGACCUCUGUAUGGAGCCUCGAGAUGUGCCACCUCCCAGAAAGCCAGCAUCUAACCUGGUGGCUGUCCUACUGGGACUGCUGGUGCCUGUGGUGGUCGUAGUACUAGCCGUGACCAGAGAGUGUAUUUACAGAACGAGGAGGAAGAGAGAGAAAACGCAGAGUCAGGAGGGAAACAGACUGGCCAGGCUGGUGGACACACAUACUGUUCUGGACUGUGCCUUUUAAGUUGCUCAGUUUUGAGUUGUCUUCAGACAAGAAGAUUAAAUAAAUUUAUGUAUUUAUUUAUUUGA